UUCCGCGCGAUCGGAGAGCAGGCCAACCUACAGCGCCAUUUCUCCUCUCCUAUUUGUGUGUGUGCGCGCGCGGGCGCGCGUGUGCUGCUCUUGCUCUUUCUCUUUCUCCUCUCCUACAUAACAUACCCAGGCCGGACGGCGAGAUACAUGGGAGAAGCUCCUCCCGAUCGAACAUUACCAUGCCAAGCGCUUUAUCUCUCUCACUCUCAUGAAGUUUGGUGCUGUUAGCUCAGCAAGAUACUUUUCUUCGUGGCAUCUCGGACAUGGGCGCCUGGCAUAGUAAUGUUCGGAAGGAUAUGGGUAGGCACAUCAGCCGUUCCCGUUGGAGCAAUAUGGCGGCACGGCCGCUAGUCAGAGGAGAAAGAAAAAUGUUAGCAUACAAAGCAUGGCUCCAUAGCUAGGGUUGUAUUACGGAUUAUUGGUUGGCUCACUGUCACUGAUCGGACCCCUUCAUGGAGUUGGAUGUUGUUGAUUGUUGCUUUCUCUCACUCACCUUGAUCAAGUUGCACUCUAUGAACUGUUGAUGUAGAGAGAGUAUGUAAUUAUCGUGGGAAUUUCUUUUGUUAGGCCUGGCAUAAUGUGGUUCUAGUCAACCCCUUAGAAAGGACAGUGUCAAUUUUUUCUUUUCAAACCGAGCAACUCUUGGGCCUCCAAUUUUAAUCCAAUAACACAAAAAUAUGUUUAAUCA